AGGUACCGUCAAGGCGCAAGCAUUUCCUCAUGCGCUUUUUCGUCUCUCCCCACAGUGCUUUACGACCCGAAGGCCUUCAUCACACACGCGGCGUGGCUGGGUCAGGCUUUCGCCCAUUGCCCAAUAUUCCUCA
rnacentral:rRNA from 1 species